UACGGAGGAUCCAAGCGUUAUCCGGAAUCAUUGGGUUUAAAGGGUCCGUAGGCGGUUUUGUAAGUCAGUGGUGAAAGCCCAUCGCUCAACGGUGGAACGGCCAUUGAUACUGCAAGACUUGAAUUAUUGGGAAGUAACUAGAAUAUGUAGUGUAGCGGUGAAAUGCUUAGAGAUUACAUGGAAUACCAAUUGCGAAGGCAGGUUACUACCAAUAUAUUGACGCUAAUGGACGAAAGCGUGGGGAGCGAACAGG
rnacentral:rRNA from 1 species